GAGGAAGCAACCCAAGGAAAGCCAAAGGUGAAUACAACAGCUAAAAAAGCUGAGCCCGAACAGACGUCGCUGUAUCGAGGAACAAUGCGUGGCCUGGACGGUGAGGACUGUUUUCAUCGAUUCAAGAACUACGGCUACGACGACCUCAUCAUGUUUUGCGCCUCCAGAGACAGUACAGCUCUCUGUGAGGGAGACACGGCGUCUCCGGCGAUGACCACUGACAGCGACGGUCUGACGUACCUACUUGGCUUGGCUUCUUACGGCUUUUCCUGCGGCAGUAGCGACGUUCCAAGUGUGUUCUUGCGCAUCGAGGCAUUCGUUCCGUGGAUCUACCACAAGCUGAACCGGCUUCGCCGAAUACACAGAAAUACCUACACCUU